rnacentral:lncRNA from 1 species
GGGAGAUUCAGCUUUGAUUCAUGCAGAGGCAUUUUAGCUCUGAUGGAUCUCAACUCGAACGGAAGACUCACCCUGCAGGAGUUCGGGAGCCUCUGGCGAAGUCUCGCUAAGUACAGGGAGAUCUUCUUCAAGGAAGACAGGAACCGUUCUGGAUUUCUUGAUGUUGCUGAGCUGGAGAACGCCAUCCAGGCAGCAGGUACAGACAGAGGGGCUGAGCAGCUCCCCUUGCUUUUCCUGGGGCUGUGAAGCAAAGGAUGAGAAAGAAAG